GUGGGGGUGGUAGUAUUGCAUGCCGCACCAUGACCAUGUGAAUGCUGCCAAUGCCAUGUGCUGUUGUAAACAAUGCAACUAGUGGAGGCGGGCAAGGUGUUCAGUGUUGCCAGAUUGGAAAUGGCGAAAGUACGGAAAAGUAUCGUACCAAAGGCUCAAAAUGAUCGUAUUUAGAGGAUAAUUAUCGUGCAUCUGCCAACACUGAGAAGGCGGUCGACCAAUGACAGUUCUCUCUACAGUCAGAGUUCGCGCAAGAAGGUGGAACGUAAGAGAGAUACCCUUUUCAAAGCUUGUAAUAACUAGUUUGUGAAAGAAACAGAUAUAUCCGACGAAGCAAAAUCCCGGGCGAUUUUGGAAUCCCUGCCGGACGCAUUUUUUAGGUCUCGAAAAGAGGAUCAAAUGUCCGGGUAAAAGAGGACGUCUGGUCACCCUUGCAAUACUCUACUACACACAAGGAAGUAGGGUUUACAGCCACUACACACAAGGAAGUAGGGUUUACAGCCUAGCCGAGUUUCAAUUCUGCAAAACUGAAUCCAAAACAGAACAAUAACUUUACUGUGAAUAGAAACGCCCAAUACAUAGGCUACUACUGCAACUACACUCCACACAUUAUUGGCAUUGAUUGGAAAUCUAGUGUGAAGAUCACUUAGGAUAACUGUGAGAUGGCUGAAACAGAGUACCGACGGCAGACAACCAAGUCCUAUGCAGACGCCCUACAAACACGUUUUAACAGAGCUCCUGCAAAAACUACAGCAGGCCUCCUUGCCCAGAAUGAUCAACAGACCAAGCUUAGGAACCGCCUCUUUGCCCUCAUGAAGCAGCAUCCUGAGGGGUUAACUCUGCCUCAGGUGAGACUGGGUUGCCCUGACCUUGUCAACCCUUUGGUCCUGAAUUCCUACCCCUCCACCAGACAGCUUCUGGGCUCUUUAACUGAUGUGGUGAGACUACAAGGCAUUGGUGUCCAGACACUCGUCCUCCCAGCCUCUAGACAAAACACAGACGGAAAGGAGACAUAGUCUCCACAGAAGCUGCAGUUGUGCAAAAUGGGACCAGACACAAUUCAGAAAUAUUGAAAACUAUAUAUUGAAAUAUAUUGAAAACUACGCAUAAUCUCCCUUAACUCAGGCUCAUUGCAAACAGGGACCAAGGGGACACAACACGAUCCUGUUUUUAAUCUAUUUUUAUUUAUCAUGGAAAGCUGUUUUAUGAAAACACAUUUGACAUUAUAAUUCAAAUAAUAGAAAGGACAUUAUGUUUUUGUUUUUUAAUCAUUUGUAUUUACAUUUGAUAGCGAAGCAUAAUGCUUACAAUAUUUUGGGAUUGUUAUGCAAAAACCUGUUUGUCUCAAGGGGCACUUCAGGGAUUAAAAUCUUUUGUCAUGG